rnacentral:rRNA from 1 species
UAGGGAAUCUUCGGCAAUGGACGAAAGUCUGACCGAGCAACGCCGCGUGUGUGAAGAAGGAUUUCGGAUCGUAAAACUCUGUUGUUAGAGAAGAACAAGGACGUUAGUAACUGAACGUCCCCUGACGGUAUCUAACCAGAAAGCCACGGCUAACUACGUGCCAGCAGCCGCGGUAAUACGUAGGUGGCAAGCGUUGUCCGGAUUUAUUGGGCGUAAAGCGAGCGCAGGCGGUUUCUUAAGACUGAUGUAAAAGCCCCCGGCUCAACCGGGGAGGGUCAUUGGAAACUGGGGGACUUGAGUGCAGGAGGGGAGAGUGGAAUUCCAUGUGUAGCGGUGAAAUGCGUGAAUAUAUGAAGGAACACCAGAGGCGAAGGCGGCUCUCUGGUCUGUAACUGACGCUGAGGCUCGAAAGCGUGGGGAGCAAACAGG